rnacentral:ncRNA from 1 species
GAUGAAGGCAAACUGCACCGAAAGGGCGGGACGCAAAGCCUCCGGUCUAGGAUCACUUGCGAGUGAUGACGAUAGCGGGGCUGCCA